CAUGAACUUGGAGGGCAUGGUGACCAUAGAUAUUGUAUUGGUAAGUGUAUUUUCAUAAAUAAUAAUUCAACUGAUCUGAAAUGAUUAACCUUUCAUAACUUAACUGGACGACAUUUGUCUUAUGGCAUUCUAGUCACCAAAGUAUGAUCAGACUGUAUGACUGUAUAGUGCUUGUUUUUGAACUGCUGGCUGCUUUAUGUGCUUAUAAUUCCUAUAAUUUUUCUAGAUCAUCCCGCUAUGUCUUGGUUGUCUUGUUUUUUUUAGGUAGUGAUGGAACAAUGACUUUCACCAAGGACCUGCAACUCUCCUAGGAUUGUCAUUUGUCCAAAACUAAGAGGAUCAAGUCCUUUUGGUUGUACUAGGUAAGGUUACUUGCUCCUGUCUGCUGAUUAACUCUCUGUAACUGAUGAUGAUUUAUCAUUUUGGAAUCUCGUUCGUCUGAAAUCCUGUUGAUAAAUCUUUAUUACUGAAGUUACAAUACAUGAUUCCCCUACAUUUUGAAUGCUUUUUGUAUCUGAAGUGACACUGAUUGGUUUUCUGUCCUGAAAGGUUGCUUACCUGAAGUACUCAGCAGGUGGCACAUCUGAUAUGAAACCUUCACAGGACUACAGUGGAUUCUUGAAGUUCUUCCCCCUUGAGUGUACUGAAGCUGGACUACAAUGUCUUCCCUUAAAUUUUUCCCCCAGACUGUUGCUAUGGUCCAUCCAGGUUGCCCCAUUGUCACUUGGUUUGCUGGUGAUCUUGAAGGUCAUGUAAACUGUGUCUGAGAAGUUGAACUGGCUGAAACCGAUGCAUGUCCUUGUACCGUGCAUCUGCUGAACCGAAGCAGAUUGAAUGAAUGGUGUUCUUGACUGACACUAUAAAUUCAGUGUUUUUCCUCUUUUGUAUUCUCUUCCAAAGAUGCUUGUAAAAUAAAUGGCUUUAUGGAAUUUGU